rnacentral:tRNA from 1 species
GGGGUUGUGGCUCAGUGGUAGAGCAUUUGUCUUGCACAUGUGAGACAUUGGGUUCGAUCCUCAGCACCA